GAAGAGACCACAUCUGCUUUGGACAAUGCUGGUAGAUCCACUGAGUACAUACCCAGGGAUUUGCCCACAGAUGAGGGUCCUUCAACCUCAGCACACAAUCUAAGCAGGUUGCCAGCAAAGGAGCUGUAUAAGGUCCAUCUUCAAAAACAAAUAAGAAAAAGUGACAUGGAGAUGGACCUUCUCCAGCUUCAAAUGGAAGAGAAAAAAGCAGCACUUGAAAUUA